GAACGUAUAGCUUUGUGGUCAGAGCACUAUGACGCUUUCGGAGAGGCGCAGGUUCAAAUCCUGCUACAUCCA
rnacentral:tRNA from 1 species